rfam:Camelus ferus unplaced genomic scaffold scaffold144, whole genome shotgun sequence.
GUAUAUAUAGCUCAAUGGUAGAGCACAUGCUUAGCAAGCAUGAGUUCCUGGGUUCAGCCCCCAGUACCUUCA